rnacentral:rRNA from 1 species
AACGAACGCUGGCGGCAGGCUUAACACAUGCAAGUCGAACGCCCCUUCGGGGGAGUGGCAGACGGGUGAGUAACGCGUGGGAAUCUACCCAGUUCUGCGGAACAACAGUUGGAAACGGCUGCUAAUACCGCAUACGCCCUACGGGGGAAAGAUUUAUCGGAAUUGGAUGAGCCCGCGUAAGAUUAGCUAGUUGGUGAGGUAAUGGCUCACCAAGGCGACGAUCUUUAGCUGGUCUGAGAGGAUGAUCAGCCACACUGGGACUGAGACACGGCCCAGACUCCUACGGGAGGCAGCAGUGGGGAAUAUUGGACAAUGGGCGCAAGCCUGAUCCAGCCAUGCCGCGUGAGUGAUGAAGGCCUUAGGGUUGUAAAGCUCUUUCAGUAGGGAAGAUAAUGACGGUACCUACAGAAGAAGCCCCGGCUAACUUCGUGCCAGCCGCCGCAGUAAGAC